rnacentral:rRNA from 1 species
AACGAACGCUGGCGGCAUGCCUAACACAUGCAAGUCGAACGAGACCUUCGGGUCUAGUGGCGCACGGGUGCGUAACGCGUGGGAACCUGCCCUUAGGUUCGGAAUAACUCCCCGAAAGGGGUGCUAAUACCGGAUAAUGUCUUCGGACCAAAGAUUUAUCGCCUUUGGAUGGGCCCGCGUGGGAUUAGCUAGUUGGUAGGGUAAAAGCCUACCAAGGCGACGAUCCAUAGCUGGUCUGAGAGGAUGAUCAGCCACACUGGGACUGAGACACGGCCCAGACUCGUACGGGAGGCAGCAGUGGGGAAUAUUGGAGAAUGGGCGAAAGCCUGAUCCAGCAAUGCCGCGUGAGUGAUGAAGGCCUUAGGGUUGUAAAGCUCUUUUACCCGGGAUGAUAAUGACAGUACCGGGAGAAUAAGCUCCGGCUAACUCCGUG